UACAGAGGGUGCAAGCGUUGUCCGGAUUUAUUGGGCGUAAAGCGUCUGUAGGCGGUUUACCAAGUCCGAAGUGAAAGAAUGGGGCUUAACUCCAUCCACGCUUUGGAAACUGGUAGACUAGAGACUGUUAGAGGUAAGUGGAAUUUCCAGUGUAGCGGUGAAAUGCGUAGAUAUUGGAAGGAACACCAGAGGCGAAGGCGGCUUACUGGGAUAGUUCUGACGCUGAGAGACGAAAGCUAGGGGAGCGAAAGGG
rnacentral:rRNA from 1 species